GACGAACGCUGGCGGCGCGCCUAACACAUGCAAGUCGAACGGAGCUUAGAGAGCUUGCUUUUUAAGCUUAGUGGCGAACGGGUGAGUAACGCGUGAGUAACCUGCCCUAGAGUGGGGGACAACAGUUGGAAACGACUGCUAAUACCGCAUAAGCCCACGGUACCGCAUGGUACUGAGGGAAAAGGAUUUAUUCGCUUUAGGAUGGACUCGCGUCCAAUUAGCUAGUUGGUGAGGUAACGGCCCACCAAGGCGACGAUUGGUAGCCGGACUGAGAGGUUGAACGGCCACAUUGGGACUGAGACACGGCCCAGACUCCUACGGGAGGCAGCAGUGGGGGAUAUUGCACAAUGGGGGAAACCCUGAUGCAGCGACGCCGCGUGGAGGAAGAAGGUUUUCGGAUUGUAAACUCCUGUCGUUAGGGACGAUAAUGACGGUACCUAACAAGAAAGCACCGGCUAACUACGUG
rnacentral:rRNA from 2 species